rnacentral:rRNA from 1 species
GAUGAACGCUGGCGGCGUGCCUAAUACAUGCAAGUCGAGCGAACGGACGAGAAGCUUGCUUCUCUGAUGUUGGCGGCGGACGGGGGAGUAAAACGUGGAUAACCUACCUAUAAGACUGGGAUAACUUCGGGAAACCGGAGCUAAUACCGGAUGAUAUUUUGAACCGCAUGGUUCAAAAGUGAAAGACGGUCUUGCUGUCACUUAUAGAUGGAUCCGCGCUGCAUUAGCUAGUUGGUAAGGUAACGGCUUACCAAGGCAACGAUGCAUAGCCGACCUGAGAGGGUGAUCGGCCACACUGGAACUGAGACACGGUCCAGACUCCUACGGGAGGCAGCAGUAGGGAAUCUUCCGCAAUGGGCGAAAGCCUGACGGAGCAACGCCGCGUGAGUGAUGAAGGUCUUCGGAUCGUAAAACUCUGUUAUUAGGGAAGAACAUAUGUGUAAGUAACUGUGCACAUCUUGACGGUACCUAAUCAGAAAGCCACGGCUAACUACGUG